AACGAACGCUGGCGGCAGGCCUAACACAUGCAAGUCGAGCGAGGACUUCGGUCCUAGCGGCGGACGGGUGAGUAACGCGUGGGAACGUGCCCUUUGCUUCGGAAUAGCCCUGGGAAACUGGGAGUAAUACCGGAUGAGCCCUUUGGGGGAAAGAUUUAUCGGCGAAGGAUCGGCCCGCGUUGGAUUAGGUAGUUGGUGGGGUAAUGGCCUACCAAGCCGACGAUCCAUAGCUGGUUUGAGAGGAUGAUCAGCCACACUGGGACUGAGACACGGCCCAGACUCCUGCGGGAAGCAGCAGUGGGGAAUCUUAGACAAUGGGGGAAACCCUGAUCUAGCCAUGCCGCGUGAGCGAUGAAGGCCUUAGGGUUGUAAAGCUCUUUCAGCUGGGAAGAUAAUGACGGUACCAGCAGAAGAAGCCCCGGCUAACUCCGUG
rnacentral:rRNA from 1 species